CCCUUAGAUGUUCUGGGCCGCACGCGCGCUACACUGAUGCAUUCAACGAGUUUUACCUUGGCCGAGAGGCCUGGGCAAUCUUUUAAACCUGCAUCGUGAUAGGGAUAGAUUAUUGCAAUUAUUAAUCUUGAACGAGGAAUUCCUAGUAAACGCAAAUCAUCAAUUUGCAUUGAUUACGUCCCUGCCCUUUGUACACACCGCCCGUCGCACCUACCGAUUGAAUGGUCCGGUGAGGCCUCGGGAUUGUGGUCAGUUUCCUUCAUUGGGAGUUGGCUGCGAGAACUUGUCCAAACCUUAUCAUUUAGAGGAAGGUGAAGUCGUAACA
rnacentral:rRNA from 1 species